rnacentral:miRNA from 1 species
UGGACGACCUGGGCGCCGACG